rnacentral:rRNA from 1 species
GGCCAGACUCCUACGGGAGGCAGCAGUGGGGAAUAUUGCACAAUGGGGGGAACCCUGAUGCAGUGACGCCGCGUGUGGGAAGACGGUCCUCUGGAUUGUAAACCACUGUCCCCAGGGACGAAGAUGACGGUACCUGGGGAGGAAGCUCCGGCUAACUACGUGCCAGCAGCCGCGGUAAUACGUAGGUGGCAAGCGUUGUCCGGAUUUACUGGGUGUAAAGGGCGUGUAGCCGGGAAGGCAAGUCAGAUGUGAAAUCCGGAGGCUCAACCUCCGAAUUGCAUUUGAAACUGUUUUUCUUGAGUACUGGAGAGGCAGGCGGAAUUCCUUGUGUAGCGGUGAAAUGCGUAGAUAUAAGGAGGAACACCAGUGGCGAAGGCGGUCUGCUGGACAGCAACUGACGGUGAGGCGCGAAAGCGUGGGGAGCAAACAGGAUUAGAUACCCGCGUA